GAUGAACGCUGACAGCAUGCUUAACACAUGCAAGUCAACUUGAACUUCGGUUUGGGUGGCGGACGGGUGAGUAACGCGUAAAGAACUUGCCUCACAGCUAGGGACAACAUUUGGAAACGUAUGCUAAUACCUGAUAUUAUGAUUAUAUGGCAUCGUAUAAUUAUGAAAGCUAUCUGCGCUGUGAGAGAGCUUUGCGUCCCAUUAGCUAGUUGGAGAGGUAACAGCCCACCAAGGCGAUGAUGGGUAGCCGGCCUGAGAGGGUGAUCGGCCACACGGGGACUGAGAGACGGCCCGUACACCUACGGGAGGCAGCAGGGGGUAAGAAAUAACAAAGGACCGACAGUCUGAUGCAGCAAUUCUGUGUGCACGAUGAAGUAUUUCGGAAUGUAAAGAGCUUUCAGUUGGGAAGAAAAAAAUGACGGUACCAACAGAAGAAGUGACGGCUAAAUACGUG
rnacentral:rRNA from 1 species